CCGAGCGGGUCCUGUGCGGCACCGCCGCCCGCCCGCGGGUGACCGUCCCUCUGCACUCACCGCCGGCGCGCGCAAGAGUCGGUGCGCCCGUGCUCACUGCCGUCCCCCUCAGGUGUUCCGCGACCGCAGGUGUCCGCGCCCAAGCCAUGGUGGACGUGCUGGGCGGCCGGCGCCUGCUGACCCGGGACGGCGCGUGGGUGGAGGCCGAGGAGGAGCUGCAGAACAAGGUGGUGGCGCUGUACUUCGCCGCCGGCUGGUGCGCGCCCAGCCGCGACUUCACGCCGCUGCUCUGCCACUUCUACGCGCAGCUGGUGGCCGAGGCGCGGCCGCCCGCUCCCUUCGCGGUGGUGUUUGUGUCGGCCGACGGCAGCGCGCAGGAGAUGCUGGAUUUCAUGCGCGAGCUGCACGGCGCCUGGCUGGCGCUGCCCUUCCACGAUCCCUUCCGGCAAGUUGAGAAAACGUUGACGAUCCAGAAGUCAAAUUCUUGCCGAGACCUUCCUCUACCCAAAGCUCCCAUGAGGAAUCAAGCAUCAGGUCCAGGGGACACUCAGCCAACACACCCACAGAAGGCCCAUCUCUUCUCACCGUUUGCCAGAGAUUUGGGUGACAGUGAUGCAGCCACCUGCCUUGCGAGGAAAGACAACAGUCUGGCCCCCGGGAACCCCCAGAUGUACUGGUCACACGAGGAAGGAACUGAACGCCCACAGCAUCCAAGUGGCUGACGGAGACGGGUCACUUUGCUUCUGCCAACCCCGCCUGCUUUGCCAGCAGAGCUGAAAUGCACCGGGAGAGUGGUGCUGAGCUCUGUCCCCGCUCUGGGAGAAGGUCUCGAGAGCAGGAUCUGCCACCAGGCUCACCUCUGCCUGACCGCUUACACCAGCCAGCGGAACACGCCUCGUGGCUCUCUGGAUGUCGACAGAUAAUAUACCUGUUUAUAGAGAGCAGCCGACCGGAAGCACAAGUCACCAUGUCUGUGACCCUCCUGGUGAGCGACCACAGCAUUGUCCACGCCUGCCAGGCCAACUGCCGACCCUGUGGCUCAGAGGUGUUUUCGCAGGUAGCUCCCCAAGACGGUUUGAAUUGUUGCUGCGUCUGAGAAGAACAUCUCUGUGACUCCCUCGGAUGUGGUGGUCAGUUUGGCUGGGUAUAGAAUUCCAGGCUCCAUUCCGGAAACUGUUUUCUGGAGUGGCUGCACCAGUUACAUUCCCACCAGAGUGACUCAGUUUCUCUGCACCUUUGUCUUCACCAGCUUUCGUUCUCCAAGGUCAUCUUACAAACAUUUUUGGUCCACGCAUACGUUUUUGUUUUUGGAUAUCCAGUCACUGCUGCCUCAUGUGUUGAAAAGACAAUUCCUCCUUCACUGAAUUGCUUUUGCAAAUAUCUGUCAAAUAUCAAUUAACCAUUCCAUGUGGGGCUAUUUCUGGGUUCUCUGUUCUAUUGAUUCACAUGUCUUUCCUUCUGCCAACACCAUGGUUUCAAUUAAUGUAAUUAUAUAAUAAGUCUUGAAAUCUG